GGGACGCUAGCCAACGGGUCGCACAGCUCCAGGUCCAGAUGAGUCAGGAACAGGAAGACGAAUCUGUGAACCCCAAGGAGAAACGACGUUAAAAACAUGGCUGCUGGAGGCAAUCCCAGCAGUCACCAGUGGCGUCCCACUUUCGGUGCCAGACGUAGACGGUGAGCACCUACGGCCCCGGCUGCUAACGCGACGGUACGGGUUCUCCAGGCUGCAGUGCUGUGGUCGAACGUUCAGGUCUGAGGCGUCGGUGAGUCAACAGAAGGCUGGAGAGAUGAAGAGGAGACCUGAGACACAACAACAGCCUGUGAUCUCCCCCUGCUGGCAGCACAGGGCAAUGACACUGUGUUGUCAGUGACAGGACUAGUGAGACACGUUGUUGUAUAACAGGAACCUCUGUCCACACGUGUUAUUCAGACUCUACAUUUACAUUUUUAUCUAAUGCAAAUUACACGAGGUAGAUGGAGUAUAAAUUUCCACUAGGGCUCGAACCUAGAACCUUCUGCUUGUAAGGCAUGUGUGAUAUCCACUGCAGUAUUUCAGGGAUGUGAUCCUAUAACAUAUAUAUAUAUAUUUGUAUUUUUAUUACAGCACACAAACAGCUAUUUGAAUUCAAAGAUUUUACAAGACAGUGAUGCUGCCCUCUGUUGGUUUUUCCCUGGUAGUGGAACUGUUUAUACUAUGUGCAGAGAACAUUCCAGUCGCUGACUGCGUCUUAAAAUAUGUACGAGCUGUUGUUUCUAAUCAAACAAAGAAAGUGGUUCAUACAAAAUGCUUCACUGAUAUUUUUUUUUUUAAUUUAACAGUGAAGCCUGUCACAGCGUGGCUCGUGGGGCGGGGGCCCGUUAAGGUUCGUUUAACAACGAGCUCGACAGGGAACGCUUCCAACUGUGAACAAAGUUCCCACGAGGCUUCACUAAUGAAGAGGUUACAUUUGUCCAAGUCAACAACUGAGUCAACAACUGACUGACUGACUGACUGACUGACUGGCUGACUGACUGACUGACUGACUACUAACUAACUGACUGGCUGACUGUUU